rnacentral:rRNA from 1 species
AACGGGUGAGUAACACGUAAGCAACCUGCCUUUAAGACGAGAAUAACAAUUGGAAACAGUUGCUAAGGCUGGAUAGGAAAUAAAAAGGCAUCUUUUUAUUUUUAAAAGACCUUUUUCGGAAGGUAUGCUUAAAGAGGGGCUUGCGUCACAUUAGUUAGUUGGUAGGGUAAAGGCCUACCAAGACGAUGAUGUGUAGCUGGACUGAGAGGUUGAACAGCCACAUUGGGACUGAGACACGGCCCAAACUCCUACGGGAGGCAGCAGUAGGGAAUUUUCGGCAAUGGAGGAAACUCUGACCGAGCAACGCCGCGUGAACGACGAAGUACUUCGGUAUGUAAAGUUCUUUUAUUGAAGAAGAAACAAUAGUGGAAAAACUAUCUUGACGUUAUUCAAUGAAUAAGCCCCGGCUAACUAUGUGCCAGCAGCCGCGGUAAUACAUAGGGGGCGAGCGUUAUCCGGAAUUAUUGGGCGUAAAGGGUGCGUAGGCGGUUUAAUAAGUCUCUAGUUUAAUUUCAACGCUUAACGUUGUCCUGCUAGAGAAACUGUUUAACUAGAGUGAGAUAGAGGUAAGCGGAAUUCCAUGUGUAGCGGUAAAAUGUGUAAAUAUAUGGAGGAACACCAGAGGCGUAGGCGGCUUACUGGGUCUUUACUGACGCUGAUGCACGAAAGCGUGGGGAGCAAACAGGAUUAGAUACCCUGGUAGUCCACGCCGUAAACUAUGAGUACUAAGUGUCGGGGUUAAACUCGGUACUGAAGUUAACACAUUAAGUACUCCGCCUGAGUAGUACGUACGCAAGUAUGAAACUUAAAGGAAUUGACGGGAUCCCGCACAAGCGGUGGAUCAUGUUGUUUAAUUCGAAGAUACACGAAAAACCUUACCAGGUCUUGACAUACUCUGCAAAGCUAUAGAAAUAUAGUGGAGGUUAUCAGGGAUACAGGUGGUGCAUGGUUGUCGUCAGCUCGUGUCGUGAGAUGUUAGGUUAAGUUCUAAAACGAGCGCAACCCCUGUCGUUAAUUGCCAGCACGUUAUGGUGGGGACUUUAGCGAGACUGCCAAUGAAAAAUUGGAGGAAGGUGGGGAUUACGUCAAAUCAUCAUGCCCCUUAUGAUCUGGGCUACAAACGUGAUACAAUGGCUAUUACAAAGAGUAGCUGAAACGCGAGUUUUCGGCAAAUCUCAAAAAAAUAGUCUCAGUUCGGAUUGAAGUCUGCAACUCGACUUCAUGAAGUUGGAAUCGCUAGUAAUCGCGAAUCAGCAUGUCGCGGUGAAUACGUUCUCGGGGUUUGUACACACCGCCCGUCAAACCACGAAAGUGGACAAUACCCGAAAGCGACAGCCUAACUGCGUAAGCAGAGGGAAUCGUCUAAGGUAGGGUCGAUGAUUGGGGUUAAGUCGUAACAAGGUAUCCCUACCGGAAGGUGGGGAUGGAUCACCUCCUUUCU